AGUUGUUUAGUAUUUAAGUAUGAGCGAUUUCCAUUCGCUAGGAGAGACAGCUA
rnacentral:tRNA from 1 species